GAUCAUGGCUCAGGAUGAACGCUAGCGGCAGGCUUAACACAUGCAAGUCGAGGGGCAGCAUGAAAGUAGCAAUACUUUUGAUGGCGACCGGCGGACGGGUGCGUAACGCGUAUGCAACCUACCCUUUACAGGGGGAUAACACUGAGAAAUCGGUACUAAUACCCCAUAAUAUUCCGGGAGGCAUCUUUCGGAGCUGAAAGCUUUGGUGGUAAAGGNUGGGCAUGCGUUGUAUUAGCUAGUUGGUAAAGG
rnacentral:rRNA from 1 species